rnacentral:rRNA from 1 species
GUAACAAGGUUUCCGUAGGUGAACCUGCGGAAGGAUCAUUAAUGAGAUCAUGCCCUUCGGGGUAGACCUCCCACCCUUUGUUUACAAUACCAUUGUUGCUUUGGCGGCCCCGUCGCAAGACAACCGGCUCCGGCUGGUCAGUGGCCGCCAGAGGACUCCAAAACUCAUAUUGUCAUUGUCGUCUGAGUACUAUACAAUAGUUAAAACUUUCAACAACGGAUCUCUUGGUUCUGGCAUCGAUGAAGAACGCAGCGAAAUGCGAUAAGUAAUGUGAAUUGCAGAAUUCAGUGAAUCAUCGAAUCUUUGAACGCACAUUGCGCCCCCUGGUAUUCCGGGGGGCAUGCCUGUUCGAGCGUCAUUACAACCCUCAAGCUCUGCUUGGUAUUGGGCGCCACCCCCGGGUGCGCCUUAAAAUCAGUGGCGGUGCCGUCUGGCUUCAAGCGUAGUAAUACUUCUCGCUUUGGAGUCCGGGCGAGCGUCCUGCCAAAACCCCCAUAUUUUUUCAGGUUGACCUCGGAUCAGGUAGGGAUACCCGCUGAACUUAAGCAUAUCAA